UACGGGGGGGGCAAGCGUUGUUCGGAAUUACUGGGCGUAAAGGGCUCGUAGGUGGCCAACUAAGUCAGACGUGAAAUCCCUCAGCUUAACUGGGGAACUGCGUCUGAUACUGGAUGGCUUGAGUUCGGGAGAGGGAUGCGGAAUUCCAGGUGUAGCGGUGAAAUGCGUAGAUAUCUGGAGGAACACCGGUGGCGAAGGCGGCAUCCUGGACCAACACUGACACUGAGGAGCGAAAGCCAGGGGAGCAAACGGG
rnacentral:rRNA from 1 species